CCUCAUGCUUCUAAUAAUGCGUUUUGAGAAAGGCGGUUUUACGUCUGUUUUUAAGAUACAUUUUUUUGUUCUUGCAAGGAGUUGUUUCCUUAAGUAAUGGUUCCUUCAUAUGGUUUGGCUUCAGCUCCCGAAACCUUGAACUGUUUCCGAAGGGUUAAAAAUGGCAGAUGACUGUUGGCCACUGCUUUCCAUUCAGAAGCACAGAAAACAUCACAGAACUACUUUAUACAAACAGCCAGGAUCGGGAACUGUUGAAAAAAACCAACACCUAUUCAAGUGACUUGCUGGGUAGCCCAUACAGACUGUGGUUGAGAACGGCGCCCCGGAAGGUUUCUUUUCCCUGGUGGAAUUUGCAUAAACCACACAGUUUUUCAGAAAGGAGAGCGGACAACUCUUAAGAAAAUAUAAUGCUGAAAAGAUCUAACUACACAGAUCAGCAUCUACCCGGGCCAUGGGAAAAGGUUCUGCAGCUCCAAACAGAACGGUCAGUUAGGAGGAGGUCAGCGAUUCACUCCUGGAGCGCGAAAGGUGCAGUCCAUUAUCACUGGUGGAUUCAGAUGUUACCUUUAUAACUGUAUGUAUUUCAUUAAUCUGUUUGAGCUGAGCACUUCAAAAGGGGACAUACGGCAGGGAGCUGCAAAGUGCAAGAUUUAUCAGCUGCCUUCCAGUUAGGAAGAUGAGUGGUAGCGAUCGGCCCGUUUCAGCAUGUUGGAGCCAAUUCGUUACAACCAGAUUACUAUCUUAUGUCGCUCCGUAAAAACCUCUCAGUGAAAAUGGCAAUACAUGAAUAAAGGGAUAUAUGCCAUUUAUGUUCUUUUACUGGUUGUGUGAUGGCUGCAGUAAAAAGAACAAAAUGUAAAUGAACGCAAACCGUGGAGUAUCACAGUA